AACGAACGCUGGCGGCAUGCCUAACACAUGCAAGUCGAACGAACCCUUCGGGGGUAGUGGCGCACGGGUGCGUAACGCGUGGGAAUCUGCCCUUUGCCUCGGAAUAACUCAGGGAAACUUGUGCUAAUACCGGAUGAUGUCUUCGGACCAAAGAUUUAUCGGCAAGGGAUGAGCCCGCGUAGGAUUAGGUAGUUGGUGGGGUAAAGGCCUACCAAGCCGACGAUCCUUAGCUGGUCUGAGAGGAUGAUCAGCCACACUGGGACUGAGACACGGCCCAGACUCCUGCGGGAGGCAGCAGUGGGGAAUAUUGGACAAUGGGCGCAAGCCUGAUCCAGCAAUGCCGCGUGAGUGAUGAAGGCCCGCGGGUCGUAAAGCUCUUUUACCAGGGAUGAUAAUGACAGUACCUGGAGAAUAAGCUCCGGCUAACUCCGUG
rnacentral:rRNA from 1 species